UACGUAGGGGGCUAGCGUUGUCCGGAUUUAUUGGGCGUAAAGAGCGUGUAGGCGGUCUGUUACGUCUGCUGUGAAAUCCUAGGGCUUAACCCUGGGCCUGCAGUGGAUACGGGCAGACUAGAGGUAGGUAGGGGAGAAUGGAAUUCCCGGUGUAGCGGUGAAAUGCGCAGAUAUCAGGAAGAACACCCGUGGCGAAGGCGGUUCUCUGGGACGGUACUGACGCUGAGACGCGAAAGCGUGGGGAGCGAACAGG
rnacentral:rRNA from 1 species